rnacentral:rRNA from 2 species
GAUGAACGCUGGCGGCGCGCCUAACACAUGCAAGUCGAACGGUUAAAGCACCUUUUAGGUGUGUAUAAAGUGGCGAACGGCUGAGUAACACGUGGGCAACCUGCCCUCCUCUUGGGGAUAGCCUCGGGAAACCGAGGAUAAUACCCGAUACUUCAAUGUGGCCGCAUGACGACAUUGAGAAAGCUUUUGCGGAGAAGGAUGGGCCCGCGGCCUGUUAGCUUGUUGGUGGGGUAGAGGCCUACCAAGGCAAUGAUGGGUAGCUGGGUUGAGAGACCGACCAGCCAGAUUGGGACUGAGACACGGCCCAGACUCCUACGGGAGGCAGCAGUGGGGAAUCUUGCACAAUGGGCGAAAGCCUGAUGCAGCGACGCCGCGUGCGGGACGAAGGCCUUCGGGUUGUAAACCGCUUUUCAGCAGGGACGAGGCGAAAGUGACGGUACCUGCAGAAGAAGCCCC